UACGGAGGGGGCUAGCGUUGUUCGGAAUUACUGGGCGUAAAGCGCGCGUAGGCGGCUUUGUAAGUCAGAGGUGAAAUCCCGGGGCUCAACUCCGGAACUGCCUUUGAAACUGCAUCGCUUGAAUCCGGGAGAGGUGAGUGGAAUUCCGAGUGUAGAGGUGAAAUUCGUAGAUAUUCGGAAGAACACCAGUGGCGAAGGCGGCUCACUGGACCGGUAUUGACGCUGAGGUGCGAAAGCGUGGGGAGCAAACGGG
rnacentral:rRNA from 1 species